AGUCGACGGUGAUGAAGAGCUUGCUCUUUGGAUCAGUGGCGAACGGGUGAGUAACACGUGAGCAAUCUGCCCUUGACUCUGGGAUAACUGCGGGAAACUGUAGCUAAUACCGGAUAUGACCCAGGAAGGCAUCUUUUUGGGUGGAAAGAAUUUUGGUCAAGGAUGAGCUCGCGGCCUAUCAGCUAGUUGGUGAGGUAAUGGCUCACCAAGGCGACGACGGGUAGCCGGCCUGAGAGGGUGACCGGCCACACUGGGACUGAGACACGGCCCAGACUCCUACGGGAGGCAGCAGUGGGGAAUAUUGCACAAUGGGCGCAAGCCUGAUGCAGCAACGCCGCGUGAGGGACGAAGGCCUUCGGGUUGUAAACCUCUUUUAGUAGGGAAGAAGCGACUGGGUUUUCCUGGGAGUGACGGUACCUGCAGAAAAAGCACCGGCUAACUACGUGCCAGCAGCCGCGGUAAUACGUAGGGUGCAAGCGUUGUCCGGAAUUAUUGGGCGUAAAGAGCUCGUAGGCGGUUUGUCGCGUCUGCUGUGAAAACCCGAGGCUCAACCUCGGGCCUGCAGUGGGUACGGGCAGACUAGAGUGCGGUAGGGGAGAUUGGAAUUCCUGGUGUAGCGGUGGAAUGCGCAGAUAUCAGGAGGAACACCAAUGGCGAAGGCAGAUCUCUGGGCCGUAACUGACGCUGAGGAGCGAAAGCAUGGGGAGCG
rnacentral:rRNA from 1 species